CGCGGCCUAUCAGCUUGUUGGUGAGGUAAAGGCUCACCAAGGCAUUGACGGGUAGCUGGUCUGAGAGGACGAUCAGCCACACUGGGACUGAGACACGGCCCAGACUCCUGCGGGAGGCAGCAGUGGGGAAUCUUGCGCAAUGGGCGAAAGCCUAACGCAGCAACGCCGCGUGGGGGAUGAAGGCUCUCGGGUUGUAAACCCCUUUCAGCAGGGACGAAAUUGACGGUACCUGUAGAAGAAGCCCCGGCCAACUACGUGCCAGCAGCCGCGGUAACACGUAGGGGGCGAGCGUUGUCCGGAAUUAUUGGGCGUAAAGGGCUCGUAGGCGGUUCGGUAAGUCAGAUGUGAAAGGUUGGGGCUCAACCCUAAGACUGCAUUUGAUACUGCCGUGACUAGAGUCCGGUAGAGGAGUGUGGAAUUCCUGGUGUAGCGGUGAAAUGCGCAGAUAUCAGGAGGAACACCGACGGCGAAGGCAGCACUCUGGGCCGGUACUGACGCUGAGGAGCGAAAGCGUGGGUAGCAAACAGGAUUAGAUACCCUGGUAGUCCACGCCGUAAACGUUGGGCACUAGGUGUGGGACCUUAUCAACGGGUUCCGUGCCGUAGCUAACGCAUUAAGUGCCCCGCCUGGGGAGUACGG
rnacentral:rRNA from 1 species